AUGCGACGCACUACCACAUGGCCAAGCUGUUUCAUCCUAUGGUGCUUGUCCGUGCAGCUUCUCUUGCUGUCUCCGGUGUACUCCCUCAACCAAAGCUCCUGCAACCCAGAUGAUUAUGGUGCACUGGAAGGCUUCCUGAGAGGUGUCACCGGAGGCAUCAGCGGCUGGACGCUCUCAAACACGACCUCCGAAGUGGCCAACCGCUGUGCAUGGGUGGGCGUCACAUGCGACGCCGGCGGCCGGGUCAUCAGGCUGGACCUCCAUGGCAGGAAACUCAAGGGCGAGCUGGCACCUUCGCUCGCACAACUGGGCCAUCUCCAGUGGCUCAACCUCUCCGAUAACAACCUCCGUGGUGCCAUCCCAGCACCCCUCCUUCAGCUCCAUAGACUGCAGCGGCUCGACGUAAGCAACAACGAGCUUUCUGGCACAUUCCCGGCCAACGUCUCGCUCCCGGUGAUUGAGGUCUUCAACAUAUCGUUCAACUCGUUCAGCGGCACCCAUCCCACACUCCAUGGUUCAGCGCAGCUCACGGUGUUCGAUGCAGGGUACAAUAUGUUCACCGGGAGAAUUGAUUCAAGCAUCUGUGAGUCAUCUCGAGUGAUCCGUGUGAUAAGAUUCACUUCGAAUCUCUUUGCCGGGGAACUGCCGGAAGGCUUUGGAAACUGCAUAAAGCUCGAGGAGCUAUAUGCCGAGCUCAACAGCAUCUCCGGGAGCUUGCCAGACGACCUAUUCAAGUUGCAAUUUCUGAAGAAUUUGACUCUGCAGGAGAAUCAGCUCACUGGUAGGAUGAGCCCGAGGUUUGGCAAUCUGUCCAGCCUUGCUCAGCUGGACAUUUCUUUUAAUUCCUUCUCUGGACACCUUCCAGAUGUUUUUGGUAGGCUUGGCAAGUUAGAGUACUUCUCUGCACAGUCCAACCUCCUCAGAGGCCCGUUGCCUGCUUCAUUGUCUCAAUCGCCAUCAUUGAAGAUGUUGUACUUGCGGAACAAUUCACUGAAUGGAAGGAUCAACCUCAAUUGCUUGAAGAUGACACAACUGAGCUCACUUGACCUUGGGACAAAUAAGUUUAUUGGCACAAUUGAUAGCUUGUCAGAUUGCCAUCGUCUCAGAAGCCUAAAUCUUGGCACAAAUAACCUCAGUGGCGAAAUACCAGCUGAUUUUAGAAAGCUUCAGUUUUUGUCCUACAUCUCACUUUCGAACAACAGCUUCACAAAUGUUUCCUCGGCAUUAUCUGUCCUUCAAGACUGUCCAAGCCUAACAAGCCUUGUGUUGACAAAGAACUUCCAUGAUGGGAAGGCCUGGCCGAUGACUGGAAUACAUGGCUUUCAUAAGAUCCAGGUGUUUGCCAUUGCUAAUAGCCAUCUUUCAGGAGCAAUACCACCAUGGUUAGCUAAUUUCAGAGAAUUGAAGGUCCUAGAUUUGUCAUGGAAUCAACUGUCUGGGGAUAUUCCUGCAUGGAUUGGUGAUCUCGAGUUUCUAUUCUAUGUGGAUCUUUCUAACAAUUCACUUACAGGGGUAAUACCAAACAGUUUCUCGAGCAUGAAGGGACUUCUUACAUUCAACAGCUCACAGCAAUCCACAGAGACUGAUUAUUUUCCUUUCUUCAUUAAAAGGAACAAAACAGGCAAAGGGUUGCAGUACAAACAGGUUAGCAGCUUUCCACCGUCUCUAAUUCUCAGCCAUAACAAGCUCAUAGGUGCCAUAUUGCCGGGCUUUGGAAGCCUCAAGAACCUGUAUGUCUUGGACCUCAGCAACAACAAUAUUUCUGGUAUCAUUCCUGAUGAGCUAUCAGGCAUGUCUAGCUUGGAAUCCUUGGAUUUGUCACAUAACAAUCUCACCGGAAGCAUUCCCUAUUCAUUGACAAAGUUGAAUUUUCUAUCAAGCUUCAGUGUGGCAUACAAUAAUCUGAUGGGCACAGUUCCAUUAAGAGGGCAAUUCUCAACAUUCACUGGUUCUGAUUAUGAGGGGAACCCCAACCUUUGUGGCACCCGCUUUGGCUUAUCCCCAUGUCAGUCCAAUCAUGCUCCCAUCAUCUCUGCAACGGGAAAUCGGAAGAACAAGGGUCUCAUAUUAGGAAUAAUUAUUGGCAUUGCAAUUGGAGCAGCAAUGGUUUUGUCUGUUGCUGUUGUACUUGCGUUGAAGAGAAGCUUCAGAAGGCAGGAUCAUAUAGUUAAGGCUGUUGUGGAUACAAAUGUAGCAUUCGAAUUGGCACCAGCGUCACUGGUACUUCUGUUUCAGAACGAAGAUGAUGACAAGGCAUUGACUAUCAGUGACAUUUUGAAAUCUACAAACUACUUUGAUCAGGCUAACAUCAUUGGUUGUGGUGGGUUUGGUCUAGUGUACAAGGGAACAUUGCCAGAUGGAGCAAAGAUCGCCAUCAAAAGACUAUCGGGUGAUUUUGGCCAGAUGGAGAGGGAGUUCAAAGCAGAAGUGGAAACUUUAUCAAAAGCUAAGCAUCCUAAUCUUGUGCUUCUACAAGGUUACUGCAGGAAUGGCAGUGACAGGCUCCUGAUCUACUCUUACAUGGAGAAUGGCAGCCUAGACCACUGGCUUCAUGAAAAGCCUGAUGGCCCAUCCAGAUUAAACUGGCAGAGAAGGCUUCAGAUAGCCAAAGGAGCGGCACGAGGUUUGGCAUACCUGCACUUGUCAUGCGAACCUCACAUACUACACCGUGAUAUCAAGUCAAGCAACAUACUCCUGGAUGAGAAUUUUGAAGCUCAAUUGGCUGAUUUUGGGCUUGCUCGGCUAAUUUGUCCCUAUGAUACACAUGUGACAACUGACCUAGUUGGCACACUGGGUUACAUCCCCCCUGAGUAUGGCCAGUCUUCAGUAGCCACUUUCAAAGGUGAUGUGUAUAGUUUUGGCAUUGUUCUUCUGGAGUUAUUAACAGGAAAGAGGCCUGUUGAUAUGUGCAAGAGGAAGGGAGCUAGGGAGUUGGUCUCAUGGGUUAUGCACAUGAAAGGAGAACACCGUGAAGCCGACGUAUUGGACCGUGCAAUGUAUGACAAGAAAUUUGAGAUGCAAAUGAUGAAGAUGAUUGAUAUUGCAUGUUUGUGCAUUAGUGAGUCACCUAAACUGAGGCCAUUAACCCAUGAAUUAGUGCUAUGGCUUGACAACGUUUGUGCUAGCAGUGAAGCAACAAAGUGA
rnacentral:rRNA from 1 species